rnacentral:rRNA from 1 species
AGGCUGCAACUCGCCUGCAUGAAGUCGGGAUUGCUAGUAAUCGCGGAUCAGCAUGCCGCGGUGAAUACGUUCUCGGGCCUUGUACACACCGCCCGUCACACCAUGGGAGUCGGUAACACCCGAAGUCUGUAGCCUGACGCAAGAGGGCGCAGCCGAAGGUGGGAUCGAUGACUGGGGUGAAGUCGUAACAAGGUAUC